rnacentral:lncRNA from 1 species
CUUUAAUUUCCUCUUUUUUUUUUUGAUUGAGAAAUACCAAUUGUAUCAGAUGAGGGAGUUCCUGUCUGUGUCAGAGUCACCUGUUGAGGGGAUCAUAUUGGUAUUCUCAGGUUACAGUUUCCUUGAAAAUCUUGUUCGUUUCAAAUACACAUCCAGCCAGUCUGCGGACAAACACCAGUGCCAUCCUGUUCCUUGAAAAGCAAACCUCAUCUGUGACAAACUUUGUCUGGGUUAUGAGUUGUACACACAGCUGGGCACAAAACCAUGAUCAUCAAGGCAGCUUCUUCCAGUCCUUCUGGGUUGCCAUCCUUGUGUUCCUGUGUGGCAAA